ensembl:lncRNA
UGUGAGUGCGGUAGCAGACGGAUAAUUGCAUUGACCACAGCGGACGGGAAUAGUAGACACCUGUUGCCCCUCACUAGUAAGGUGUGAGCGGCUGGGCAUAUAUCUCUGUCCAGACUCCCUGUGCAUGUGUGUCAGAAAGAGAGAGAGAAAGGCUGUGAGCGAUUCUGUGUGUGUACGUCAGUGUGUACGUGCGUGUCAGCGAGUAUGCGUCAACGUGCGUUUGGGUGUGUACGUUUGCGUGAGAGAAAGCUUGAUAGAGGGAAAGAGAGAACCUGUGAGUGAAUCAGUGUGUGGAGUGGUGUGGUACGCCCGAAUGCAUCUUUUGUCACGUUGGUGGGUUGUGGCACUAAUGUGUCGCCAUAGAGUUUCCCUGAGGCGUAUCUUUUACGCACACACACGCUGCAUAGGGCAGAGGCGGCUGAAGACUCUGUCUCCAUCCCUCCACCUUGCGAUCUAUACCACCAUAUAGGUGGGGAUUGAUCGUAUCCCAGGUAUGGCAUCCUGCAAUAAGCCAGUAUGGAAGGCUGGUUAGCCAACGACGGGUAAGAUCCCACCUUGAAGCCCGGGACGACCUAAGGCAGGCACAGUCACGCUUACUUGGCAAAGUCGCUGUGGGCACUGGCUUACUUGAUCAUGAAGUGACGAGCUGCAACAAUCAUAGGAAGUGCCGGGUGGGGUGUAGGGUGGAGGAGGAACAGGAGUCAGAUAUGUCAGCUCUUGCAGCAGAGGUGGUCUUGGAACGGGGCAUGUCGCGUUUUAUUUUAUUUUAUUUUAUUUUACCUUUGUGGUAUAGAAGGCCACUAACGCAUGUACGUUUUUUCGGUUUGGUGCAUGACUUUUGAACAGCGUGGUUUCAGGCGGCUGAUGGUAAACCCACCCAUAUUGGGCUUUGGUUUUGGACACACUGGUUCGAUUUCCCUUCCCAAAAGAUUGGCUUUAAUUUGCUGAUGGUUAAGGUUAGACGUUUCGACGUUGGUUGCACCAACGGCGUUCUUAGAUUUGCUUAUCAUUUAAUGCGCAUGGUUUUGACAGAGGUAUUGAGGAGAAUUAGGAAAAUUUUUGAAAACAAGGUUUUUCUUCACCAUACUUGCAAACAAUGAUUGACAUCCAGCUAAAUGAGUGUGAAAUAUUUGAAAAAACAGUGUUCAACAGAUGGGUAGAAGCAGUCCCAUCAGAAGACCAAAGUGCGGCUACGGUAAUCAAGGUUCUGACUAGAGAAGUCAUGCCAAGGUUUGGAAUUCCGUCAGAAAUUAGCUCAGGCGAUAGGGCAGUGUUUAUUCAGAAAACACUCAAACGAGUGAUUUAACAUCUGCAUGUCAAACAAAGACUAGUCUGUGUCUACAAUCCUCAAACCACAAGGUAUGGUGGAGAGAGGAAUGGGACGCUCAAGACAAAGAUUAACAAAAUUAAAUUAGAGUACUAAAUUAAAGGACUAAUGCACUACGA